rnacentral:misc_RNA from 1 species
GAAAUGCGAUAAGUAGUGUGAAUUGCAGAAUUCAGUGAAUCAUCGAAUCUUUGAACGCUCAUUGCGCCCUUUGGUAUUCCAAAGGGCAUGCCUGUUCGAGCGUCAUUUGUACCCUCAAGCUUUGCUUGGUGUUGGGCGUCUUGUCUCCAGUUCGCUGGAGACUCGCCUUAAAGUAAUUGGCAGCCGGCCUACUGGUUUCGGAGCGCAGCACAAGUCGCGCUCUCUUCCAGCCAAGGUCAGCAUCCACAAAGCCUUUUUUCAACUUUUGACCUCGGAUCAGGUAGGGAUACCCGCUGAACUUAAGC